rnacentral:rRNA from 1 species
AGCGAACGCUGGCGGCAGGCCUAACACAUGCAAGUCGAACGAACUCUUCGGAGUUAGUGGCGGACGGGUGAGUAACACGUGGGAACGUGCCUUUAGGUUCGGAAUAACUCAGGGAAACUUGUGCUAAUACCGAAUGUGCCCUUCGGGGGAAAGAUUUAUCGCCUUUAGAGCGGCCCGCGUCUGAUUAGCUAGUUGGUGAGGUAAAGGCUCACCAAGGCGACGAUCAGUAGCUGGUCUGAGAGGAUGAUCAGCCACAUUGGGACUGAGACACGGCCCAAACUCCUACGGGAGGCAGCAGUGGGGAAUCUUGCGCAAUGGGCGAAAGCCUGACGCAGCCAUGCCGCGUGAAUGAUGAAGGUCUUAGGACUGUAAAAUUCUUUCACCGGGGACGAUAAUGACGGUACCCGGAGAAGAAGCCCCGGCUAACUUCGUG